rnacentral:rRNA from 1 species
UACAGAGGUCCCAAGCGUUGUUCGGAUUUACUGGGCGUAAAGGGUGCGUAGGUGGUGAGGUAAGUCUGAUGUGAAAUCUCCGAGCUUAACUCGGAAAUGGCAUUGGAAACUACCUUGCUAGAGGGUUGGAGGGGGGACUGGAAUACUUGGUGUAGCAGUGAAAUGCGUAGAUAUCAAGUGGAACACCAGUGGCGAAGGCGAGUCCCUGGACAACUCCUGACACUGAGGCAGCGAAAGCUAGGGGAGCAAACAGG